UGAAGCUGUGCAGAGCAGGGCUGCUUCUGAGGGGGCUGCUACCAGGACAGUUGCUUCUCAAAGAUGACUGGCAGAAGAGUUGCUUCUUGAAGAUGACUGGCAGAAGAGUGAGCUGCUACUGAGGGCUGAGGAGCCAUCAGCUAAGGAGUACUCAGGAUUGCCUGAAAAGAAAUUGAAGCACAUUGACACCAUCUUUGCUACAGCCCACAGGAGAAACAAAAAGUAAAACCUAGUCCCAUAGAAGUCAAUGGUGACAUUACCAAUGGGAACAAUCUUCAUCAUUCCUCAGAAUUCAUGUCUUUUUGCUCAAGAAGAUUAUGCCACAUAGAGAACUCUCCAUCUUGGAUAGCAGAAGAAAGAAGAUUUCUGAAUGACUGACAAAGGAUGCAAAGAAGAUGGUACAAGAAGCUAUACAGAACCAAAGAAUGGCAGAAGCAUAUUAAAAUAGAUUCUUUAUGUCACUUUUAGAGUGGCAGACACACAAAGAAUACAAGACAUACAAAGAAUGCAUACAAUAUGUAAAGAUGGAUUGUGUAUAUGUUUGUGCCUACACCAAUCUUUCUUAUGUUGCACUUGUACACAGUUGCUUGUACUACCUCAAUUCUCAAAAGACAGACCUUACUAAAUAAAGGUACUAAGGCCAGCAUGCUAAGCAGGGUGCAGAAACCAAUCAAUAGGAAGUGUGGAAAGAUGAGAGAGGAGUUUGGAACCCUGCCCUCCACUGGAGCUUAAUAGUAGUCUGGAACGUUGACUCU